UUGCGAGGUGAAAAAACCCGAUCCCAUCCCGAACUCGGCCGUUAAGCACCUCUGCGCCGAUGGUACUCCGUCUUAAGGCGCGGGAGAGUAGGUCGUCGCCA
rnacentral:rRNA from 1 species